CAUGGCAUGGCUUCUUAAUACACUACAUGAAGAUCUUAGAACUUCUAAGAAAAAUAACAGCAUCAUUUAUGAGUGCUUUCAGGGGGAGCUAGAAGUUGUAAAAGAGAUUCCUAGUAAAGUUAUAGCUGAUAAGAAGGAAAAUGGUGAUGCCCAGAAUGGCAUUCCAAAAAAAUACUGAUGGUGGGAAUGAACAUCAUGAUGUUGUCACAGAAACAUCUAGAAUGCCAUUCUUGAUGCUUGGACU
rnacentral:misc_RNA from 1 species